rnacentral:tRNA from 1 species
AAGGGAGACCUAAUUCAGGUAGGAGACGAAAAAAAAGUAGUCGCUACCAAGAAUCAAUCCCAAAAGGUCGGAGCGAGGCGAAAUUGGCUUUCAAACUAGGUUCUGGGUUCACACAAGACCUGAAUCAGGAACAAGGGCUAUUAGCUCAGGCGGUUAGAGCGCACCCCUGAUAAGGGUGAGGUCCCUGGUUCGAGUCCAGGAUGGCCCACCUGUACAGGUGGCAAAAAGAAAGAAAAGAAGCGAGGAAUCAGCACCUUAUCUUACUGACAUAGUAAGAGAGAAUGCUGGCUCUGAGUAAAGAGUCCAGAGGAACCUUGAAAACUGCAUAGAGCUAGGUGAAAAAGCCAAAAAAGAAGACCGCAA